UCUUCAAUAUAUCUGCGAUAGUUGCCCAGUUGUCUGGAAUCACUUCACCUCCAUUCGGUGCCUGUCUGACCUCCUCCUUGAAUUUCACAUGAUGUUUU